AAGGGCACCACAAGAACGCGUGGAGCAUGUGGCUUAAUUUGACUCAACGCGGGAAAUCUUACCGGGUCCGGACACACUGAGGAUUGACAGGCACUAUUAUGCUGUAAUGUCUUUGUACUUACAGCAUAUGUUAAAUAUGCUAGUCCUUUCAUGAUUAUGUGAUAGGUGGUGCAUGGCCGUUCUUAGUUCGUGGAGUGAUCUGUCUGCUUAAUUGCGUUUCACUAAGGGUCCAUAUAAUUAUGUACGUUGCGGCGCUUUGACCCCUAUGCAUCUGCUCAUCGUUAGUUAGUAUGCUNUAGCGCGAGUCUCUGUCUGCUUAGCUCGUGCAGUUGGAUCCUGAAAGCAACGAACGUGACCGCAACCUCUUGUUGCCUUUAAUACUACACAACAAUGCGUCAUCUACUAUUUUGUAGCGUGACCAUUGUAAAAAAGGCUUUUUAAACUAGAGGGACCGCUGUUACUUUCUUAAACCAGAGGAAGGUUGCGGCAAUAACAGGUCUGUGAUGCCCUUAGAUGUUCCGGGCUGCACACGUGCUACAAUGAUUAUUGCAGUGAGCAUCUCAUUUUUAACACAUCGCAAGCGCGAGUCCAUUUAUGCAGGUUCUAACAUUAUCAUGUGUUAGUAAUAUUGUUUUAAAUGUGUAUCUCUGCGCGCGAUAAAGCCUGCUUCGAAAGUAAGUGGGUAAUCAAUUAGAAGUAAUGAUUUCCAUUUUUUACAGCACGAAUAUAUGUGGCGACUUUUCCCAGCCAGCCUUGUUGCUGGAUUCUUGUGUGAAUUGUUGUUUUUUUAUUACACAUGUGCAAUUGUCAAUUCAUGGUGGGGACAGACCAUUGUUAAUUGUUGGUCUCGGUCUUAACUAGGAAUGCCUUGUACGGGUCUUUGGUUCAACAAACCACCCGGAAUACGUCCCUGCCCUUUGUACACACCGCCCGUCGCUCUUACCGAUGGACUUCUCUGUGAGUUUCAAGGACUGGGGUUUCAUUUAUUUGCUAACUCUAUGGAAAUUGAAACGAACAGUGUGGUCUAAAGGAAAGAGAAGUCGUAACAAGGCAUCGGUAGGUGAACCUGCAGAAGGAUCA
rnacentral:rRNA from 1 species